rnacentral:miRNA from 7 species
GGCGCAGCACCUGCGUGUGUGGCUGUGCUGUUUGCAGGGCCGCCUCGGAUCCGCCCAACGCCGGCUGCCC